GUUGGUGAACCAGCGGAGGGAUCAUUACAAGGAGCCGAAAGGCUACUUCAAACCAUUGCGAACUCAUCCAAGUUGCUUCGGCGGCGCGGCGUCCCCUCGCGGGGAUGCCGCAGCCCCGCCCCCUCGGGGGCGGUGUGCGCCCGCCGGAGGUAUCAAACCCUUCUGUAUCAUAGCGGUAUCUCUGAGUAAAAACAAACAAGUUAAAACUUUCAACAACGGAUCUCUUGGCUCUG
rnacentral:misc_RNA from 1 species